AAAUUGAAGAGUUUGAUCAUGGCUCAGAUUGAACGCUGGCGGCAGGCCUAACACAUGCAAGUCGAGCGGCAGCGGGAAAGUAGCUUGCUACUUUUGCCGGCGAGCGGCGGACGGGUGAGUAAUGCCUGGGAAA
rnacentral:rRNA from 1 species